GCCGCGUGAGUGAUGAAGGUUUUCGGAUCGUAAAACUCUGUUGUUAGGGAAGAACAAGUAUCGGAGUAACUGCCGGUACCUUGACGGUACCUAACCAGAAAGCCACGGCUAACUACGUGCCAGCAGCCGCGGUAAUACGUAGGUGGCAAGCGUUGUCCGGAAUUAUUGGGCGUAAAGCGCGCGCAGGCGGUCCUUUAAGUCUGAUGUGAAAGCCCACGGCUCAACCGUGGAGGGUCAUUGGAAACUGGGGGACUUGAGUGCAGAAGAGGAGAGUGGAAUUCCACGUGUAGCGGUGAAAUGCGUAGAGAUGUGGAGGAACACCAGUGGCGAAGGCGACUCUCUGGUCUGUAACUGACGCUGAGGCGCGAAAGCGUGGGGAGCGAACAGGAUUAGAUACCCUGGUAGUCCACGCCGUAAACGAUGAGUGCUAAGUGUUAGAGGGUUUCCGCCCUUUAGUGCUGCAGCAAACGCAUUAAGCACUCCGCCUGGGGAGUACGGUCGCAAGACUGAAACUCAAAGGAAUUGACGGGGGCCCGCACAAGCGGUGGAGCAUGUGGUUUAAUUCGAAGCAACGCGAAGAACCUUACCAGGUCUUGACAUCCUCUGCCACCCCUAGAGAUAGGGCGUUCCCCUUCGGGGGACAGAGUGACAGGUGGUGCAUGGUUGUCGUCAGCUCGUGUCGUGAGAUGUUGGGUUAAAGUCUCGCACGAGCGCAACCCUUU
rnacentral:rRNA from 1 species